GGAGGGAUGGCAGAGUGGUCGAAUGCACUGGUCUUGAAAACCAGCAAGGGUUAAUCCCCUUCCAGGGUUCGAAUCCCUGUCCCUCCACCA
rnacentral:tRNA from 4 species